AUGUAAUUGAUGCCAAUAGCUGCCAGUCCUA
rnacentral:piRNA from 1 species